rnacentral:rRNA from 1 species
UAGCUAGUUGGUGAGGUAACGGCUUACCAAGGCGACGAUCUGUAGCGGGUCUGAGAGGAUGAUCCGCCACACUGGAACUGAGACACGGUCCAGACUCCUACGGGGCAGCAGUGGGGAAUUUUGGACAAUGGGGGCAACCCUGAUCCAGCCAUGCCGCGUGAGUGAAGAAGGCCUUCGGGUUGUAAAGCUCUUUCGGCCGGGAAGAAAUCGCAUGGGCCAAUACCCUGUGUGGAUGACGGUACCGGAAUAAGAAGCACCGGCUAACUACGUGCCAGCAGCCGCGGUAAUACGUAGGGUGCGAGCGUUAAUCGGAAUUACUGGGCGUAAAGCGUGCGCAGGCGGUUUUGUAAGACAGGCGUGAAAUCCCCGGGCUCAACCUGGGAACUGCGUUUGUGACUGCAAGGCUAGAGUACGGCAGAGGGGGGUGGAAUUCCACGUGUAGCAGUGAAAUGCGUAGAGAUGUGGAGGAACACCAAUGGCGAAGGCAGCCCCCUGGGUCGAUACUGACGCUCAUGCACGAAAGCGUGGGUAGCAAACAGGAUUAGAUACCCUGGUAGUCCACGCCCUAAACUAUGUCAACUAGGUGUUGGGUGGGUAAAACCAUUUAGUACCGUAGCUAACGCGUGAAGUUGACCGCCUGGGGAGUACGGCCGCAAGGUUAAAACUCAAAGGAAUUGACGGGGACCCGCACAAGCGGUGGAUGAUGUGGAUUAAUUCGAUGCAACGCGAAAAACCUUACCUACCCUUGACAUGCCAGGAACUUGCCAGAGAUGGCUUGGUGCCCGAAAGGGAGCCUGGACACAGGUGCUGCAUGGCUGUCGUCAGCUCGUGUCGUGAGAUGUUGGGUUAAGUCCCGCAACGAGCGCAACCCUUGUCGUUAAUUGCCAUCAUUUAGUUGGGCACUUUAGCGAGACUGCCGGUGACAAACCGGAGGAAGGUGGGGAUGACGUCAAGUCCUCAUGGCCCUUAUGGGUAGGGCUUCACACGUCAUACAAUGGUCGGUACAGAGGGUCGCCAAGCCGCGAGGUGGAGCCAAUCCCAGAAAGCCGAUCGUAGUCCGGAUUGCAGGCUGCAACUCGCCUGCAUGAAGUCGGAAUCGCUAGUAAUCGUGGAUCAGCAUGUCACGGUGAAUACGUUCCCGGGUCUUGUACACACCGCCCGUCACACCAUGGGAGCGGGUUCCGCCAGAAGUAGGUAGCCUAACCGCAAGGAGGGCGCUUACCACGGCGGGGUUCGUGACUGGGGUGAAGUCGAAACAAGGUAGCCGUAGGGGAACCUGCGGCUG